CCUACGGGAGGCAGCAGUGGGGAAUUUUGCGCAAUGGGCGAAAGCCUGACGCAGCAACGCCGCGUGAGUGAUGAAGGCUUUCGGGUCGUAAAGCUCUGUCGAGGGGAAAGAAGUGUAUUGUGGCUAAUAUCCACGAUACUUGACGGUACCCCUAAAGGAAGCACCGGCUAACUCCGUGCCAGCAGCCGCGGUAAUACGGGGGGUGCAAGCGUUGUUCGGAAUUAUUGGGCGUAAAGCGCGUGUAGGCGGUCUGAUUAGUCUGAUGUGAAAGCCCUGGGCUCAACCCAGGAAGUGCAUUGGAUACUGUCAGACUUGAAUACGGGAGAGGGUAGUGGAAUUCCUAGUGUAGGAGUGAAAUCCGUAGAUAUUAGGAGGAACACCGGUGGCGAAGGCGGCUACCUGGACCGAUAUUGACGCUGAGACGCGAAAGCGUGGGUAGCAAACAGGAUUAGAUACCCUAGGUAGUCCACGCCGUAAACGAUGAGAACUAGGUGUUGCGGGUAUUGACCCUGCAGUGCCGCAGCUAACGCAUUAAGUUCUCCGCCUGGGAGUACGGUCGCAGACUUAAACUCAAAGAGUAGUUGCGNGNGAGNGCGACGACGACGACGACGGAGGAGGAG
rnacentral:rRNA from 1 species